rnacentral:lncRNA from 1 species
UGCCUCUCGCAGUAUUUAUACACCAAAAUGCUAUGUAGAGCCUUGGCACAGUAGGUCAGGGUCAGCAGGUUUUCGAUUUAAUUUGUGACUGCUGCUCAGCUUGUUCCUAAAACAGUGAUUAGUGCCGGAGGGCUCUCAAACUAUUUUGUGAGUACCACCCAACUCUUCUGCAAUCAUGGUAUGAUACUACACCUGAUAUGCACGCAGAUGGACCAAGUAAUUGGAGGGAAAAAUUGAAGAUGUUUCUUAUUCCUUGUUUCUUUCAUUUGGCAGCUAUCUUCACUGGAAGCUUAUACAGAUGUAAGGCAUCACAGCGGUGACACUUCCACUGAAGUCUUCCCAGAUAACAUAAUUCAUAGAUUAAUCUCCAGUGAAGUUUCCUGAAGAAGGGAUGCAUCCAAGCUCCCAAACCGUGGUGCGAGUUUGGGGAGUCACGCUGAGUCACCUGCCUGCAGGUGGGUCUGAAAAAAGGAAGCACCCAAAACCAGACCGAACUCAAACUGUGCUGAAGGGAUUAAAGCCCGGAGUUUGGGGUGCCCAGCCUGUAGCUCUGCCUGCCCCGCCUCGAGGAGCUCUGGAGCACACCAGUUGCCCUCGCUGAGUCCCGCCAUGCUGAGGGCAAAGCACAAGGCGUUUGCAAUCAGAGCACACGAGUGGGCAUUCAGCCUCAGAUUUACUGAAGACGGCGGCGUAACAAGAGAAAAAGGAGAGAGGACACCCUGAGAUGUGGAUGGCUCUGCUUUGUGGACAGUCACAGCGUCAGGAAAUGGAGGUAUGAGUAAAGACUUUUGGGCAGGUUCACAGAUCCUGUUUGUCACAAAACCAUUGCUUUGGAGUCUUAGUAAACCGGGUGUCCUGAUUC